UCGGGAAUUUUGGGCAAUGGGCGAAAGCCUGACCCAGCAACGCCGCGUGAAGGAUGAAGUAUUUCGGUAUGUAAACUUCGAAAGAAUAGGAAGAAUAAAUGACGGUACUAUUUAUAAGGUCCGGCUAACUACGUGCCAGCAGCCGCGGUAAUACGUAGGGACCAAGCGUUGUUCGGAAUUACUGGGCGUAAAGCGCACGUAGGCGGUCGUGUAAGAUGGGGGUGAAAUCCCGGGGCUCAACUCCGGAACUGCCUUCAUGACUGCAUGGCUAGAGGAUGCGAGCGGUUGGCGGAAUUCCGAGUGUAGAGGUGAAAUUCGUAGAUAUUCGGAAGAACACCAGUGGCGAAGGCGGCCAACUGGCGCAUUUCUGACGCUGAGGUGCGAAAGCGUGGGGAGCAAACAGGAUUAGAUACCCGAGUAGUCCCUGAGCGGGCUGGCAAGGCGCAU
rnacentral:rRNA from 1 species